UACGGAGGGGGCUAGCGUUGUUCGGAAUUACUGGGCGUAAAGGGCACGUAGGCGGCUUUGUAAGUUAGAGGUGAAAGCCCGGGGCUCAACUCCGGAAUUGCCUUUAAGACUGCAUCGCUAGAAUUGUGAAGAGGUAAGUGGAAUUCCGAGUGUAGAGGUGAAAUUCGUAGAUAUUCGGAAGAACACCAGUGGCGAAGGCGACUUACUGGUCAGAUAUUGACGCUGAGGUGCGAAAGCGUGGGGAGCAAACAGG
rnacentral:rRNA from 1 species